CACAGAGACUGCAAGCGUUAUUCGGAUUCACUGGGCGUAAAGGGUGCGCAGGCGGCCGGGUGUGUGAGGCGUGAAAGCCCGAUGCUUAACAUCGGAAUUGCACCUUAAACUACACGGCUAGAGCAUUGGAGAGGGUAGCGGAAUUCACGGUGUAGCAGUGAAAUGCGUAGAUAUCGUGAGGAACACCAGAGGCGAAGGCGGCUACCUGGACAAUUGCUGACGCUCAGGCACGAAAGCGUGGGGAGCAAAAGGG
rnacentral:rRNA from 1 species